UUUCUGCCGAGGAUGACCGGUCCGCCCUCUGGGUGAGUAUCUGGCUCAGCCUGGGCAUCCUCUUGGGGAACGUAGCUGCACUUGACUGUGUGGUGCGGUAUCCAGGACUUUUACUUUGAGGAAAUUAGAGUGUUUCAAGCAGGCUUACGCCUUGAAUACAUUAGCAUGGAAUAAUAAGAUAGGACCUUGGUUCUAUUUUGUUGGUUUCUAGAGCUGAGGUAAUGAUUAAUAGGGAUAGUUGGGGGCAUUCGUAUUUAACU
rnacentral:rRNA from 1 species